UCUGCCUACGGGGCGCAGCAGUGGGGAAUAUUGCACAAUGGGGGAAACCCUGAUGCAGCGACGCCGCGUGAGUGAGGAAGUAUUUCGGUAUGUAAAGCUCUAUCAGCAGGGAAGAAAAUGACGGUACCUGACUAAGAAGCCCCGGCUAACUACGUGCCAGCAGCCGCGGUAAUACGUAGGGGGCAAGCGUUAUCCGGAUUUACUGGGUGUAAAGGGAGCGUAGACGGAGGAGCAAGUCAGCGGUCAAAUUGCGGGGCUCAACCCCGUACUGCCGUUGAAACUGCAUCCCUUGAGUGCGCGAGAAG
rnacentral:rRNA from 1 species